rnacentral:rRNA from 1 species
GGGCCCGCACAAGCGGUGGAGCAUGUGGUUUAAUUCGAUGCAACGCGAAGAACCUUACCUACUCUUGACAUCCAGCGAAGCUUGAAGAGAUUCGAGUGUGCCUUCGGGAACGCUGAGACAGGUGCUGCAUGGCUGUCGUCAGCUCGUGUUGUGAAAUGUUGGGUUAAGUCCCGCAACGAGCGCAACCCUUAUCCUUGUUUGCCAGCACGUAAUGGUGGGAACUCCAGGGAGACUGCCGGUGAUAAACCGGAGGAAGGUGGGGACGACGUCAAGUCAUCAUGGCCCUUACGAGUAGGGCUACACACGUGCUACAAUGGCAUAUACAGAGGGCAGCGAGACAGCGAUGUGAAGCGAAUCCCAGAAAGUAUGUCGUAGUCCGGAUUGGAGUCUGCAACUCGACUCCAUGAAGUCGGAAUCGCUAGUAA